CUUGUAGUUAGUGAACAAAUUGGCUGUGUUUCAGGAUGUGAUGUUGAUAUUUCUAAGAUACUUUUCUUUAGUUUAGGACAUGGCUGUGUAGUACUCGGCCCCCACAUAAUCUCAUCUAUCUAGAGAAGGAUCAGCCCGUUUUCCAGAUUAGAAACCGGAGGCCAGUAUCUAGUUGUUAGUGAACAAAUGAGCCGUGCUUCUGGAUCUGAUGUUGGUGAUAUUUCUAUUGUGCUUCCCUUCAGUUUAGGAUGUGACUCUCUAGAACAUGGCAACCAUGUAAUCUUCCUAUCUGGAGCAGCACCGACCCAUUUUCCUGAUGAGAAACUGUGUUUAGCAUGUGGCUCUCUAGAACUUGGCAACCAUGUAAUCUUCCUAUCUGGAGCAGCACCGAACAAUUUUCCUGAAGCGAAACUGUGUUUAGCAUGUGGCUCUCUAGAACUUGGCAACCAUGUAAUCUUCCUAUCUGGAGCAGCACAGACCCGUUUUCCUGAUGAGAAACUGUGUUUAGGAUGUGACUCUCUAGAACAUGGCAACCAUGUAAUCUUCCUAUCUGGAGCAGCACCGACCCAUUUUCCUGAUGAGAAACUGUGUUUAGGAUGUGGCUCUCUAGAACUUGGCCACCAUAUAAUUUUCCUAUCUGGAGCAGGACCGACCCAUUUUCUUGAUGAGAAACUGAGGUGAAUAUCUUUUAUAUCGUGAACAACAGAGCCAUGGUUAUCGAUACAACUUUCAUUAUAUUUGCAUUGUAUUUCCCAUCCUGCAUGAACAUCGCUGUCUAGUAGUCAGCCUUCAUGUAAUCUUUAGGAGGUAGAGCACCAUCAGCCCAUUUUUCUCAUUGAGAAACUGAGGACAGUGUUGUGUAUAUAAUGAACAAUAGAGCCAUGAUUGUGCCUCUAAAGAUGAUGAUAUUUGCAUUUUCCUUCUCUACCAAUAUGAUCUUGUCUGUCUAGAUUCUAAGCUUCUCCUUUGCAUCAUUGUUUGCAUGUUGCAAGUAACCGUUGGGCUGUGCUUCCUUGAGAGGUAUUACAUUUCUUUGUAUCUUCUGUGCUUAGCACAGUGCCUGGCACAUAGUAGGCAUGAUGAUGGAGCAUAAGCUCCAUAAGGGCAUGGAUUUUUUUAUGUUUGUUUGAGAGUCACUGUAAUCAUGGACAGAUACUGAAUUGGAAACAUGUUGUCCUGGGUGUGAAUUCUGCCUCAGUCUUUUAAUAGCCAUGUUACCCUAGGUAAGUUACUUCAGCUUGGUAGGCAGCAUCAGUUUCUUCCUCCUUAAAAUGGGGACAAUAAUUGUGUCUACUUCACAGGGAUUUUUAUCUUAACGUGUUCUGUAUACGCUAGCUAGCACUAUUGUCUUGAUUUCCCUUUUUGCUUAAUGCAGCUCUUGCAGAAAUAACUGCUUCAUAUAAUUGUUUACCGAAUUGAUUUGAAAAUGUGGACGAUUUGCUGGAGUGAGGCCAUAUUCUCGUCCCGGCGAAAUCUGGGGCUCCAAAUGAGUCCUUCCAUUUUUCAUUUUCCUCACCUCCUUGAAGGUAGGGACUGCUUCCUUUCUGCCUUUGUAUCCCCCACACCUAGCAGUGUCUGGCAAGUACUAGCCAAUAAACGUUGGUUGCUGAUGGAUUAACCA
ensembl:lncRNA